ACACACUUCCGGUGCCCUGCUCAGAGCUGCCUGAGGCCUGUGAACUGCACACUGGAGAUGCCUUCCCAGCGGAAUAGUCUCCUAGUCCCUUUCUCCGUCCACGGGACCAGAUUGUUAAAACAGGGUGUUCUGAAAAUGAACCAUUGGUAUGUCACCUGUCCAGCAAUUUGAGUUCUCUGCAGGGAUCUGGAAACAUGCCAGUUAGGAUGCUUCAGCUGCAAGCGACAGAACGAGUCACUCACACAACCUCAAGAGUACAACCA